UUUAAUGGCCGCAGUAUUUUGACUGUGCAAAGGUAGCAUAAUCAUUAGUUUCUUAAUUAGAAACUGGAAUGAAAGGUUGAACGAAAGAAUAACUGUCUCUUUAUAAAUUUUUUAGAAUUUUAUUUUUAAGUUAAAAAGCUUAAAUUUUUUUAAAAGACGAGAAGACCCUAUAGAGUUUUAUAUUAAUAUUAAAAAUAAAAUUAUUUGAAUAUAUUUAUAAUAUAUUAUUAUUAUUAUUAUUUAAUUGGGGUGAUUAAAAAAUUUAAUAAACUUUUUUUUAUUAAACCAUAAAUAUAUGAUUAAUUGAUCCAUUUUUAUGAUUAUAAGAUUAAAUUACCUUAGGGAUAACAGCGUAAUUUUUUUUAAGAGUUCUUAUCGAUAAAAAAGUUUGCGACCUCGAUGUUGGAUUAAAAUUAAUUUUUGGUGUAGAAGCUAAAAUAUUAGGUCUGUUCGACCUUUAAAAUUUUACAUGAUCUGAGUUUAAACCGGUGUAAGCCAGGUUGGUUUCUAUCUUUAAAUAUAAAUAUUUAAUAUUUUAGUACGAAAGGACCAAUUAUUAAUAAUAAUUAUUUAUUAUUGAGUAAUAUUAAAUU
rnacentral:rRNA from 1 species